AAUAAGCUGGAAUAGAAGAUAACGAGGAUAAACGCUGGCAGCUGUGUGGGGGAAAAUGCGUAAGCAGGUGAUUGGAUUGGGAGGGAAAUAAAAACAGUUGGCGUUUAAGACAAGGGAGCAGAGAGGAAUGAUUGGGGAAGACACAGCAGGAAGGGAGGAAGGAUCGGUGAAGAUGGAGGAAGGAGAGAGGAAGGAUCAGUGAAGACACAGGAAGAGAAGAGGAAGGAAUCAGCGGAGAUGCAGUAGUGACACAGCGAAGAAUGAACUGGAGAUGGAUGUUUGGAAAUGGCACUGUAGUGAGAGUCCUGUUUUGUAUCAGUAUACGGAGAGUUCAUUGGUUGAGACUGUCGUAUGGGCCCGCACUCUGCCUUAAGGAUCUGAGGUUUGUGCAUGCUGUGCUGAGUUUCAAUUAUCACGUGUGAAUUGAGUUUGUUGUAGUGUAUAAACGAGUGUGGGAUGAUGCAGAGUGUACAGGCGACCAACAUAUAAUCCCUGACUAAAGCUGUGAAUGAAGAAUCCGCUAAAGCGGUGAAGUGUAUUUACCUUUCUUCUCUCUGUCUGAGCCCUGAAUGAAGCAUCAGCUAAAGCUGUGAAUGAAGAACCUGCAAAGUGGUGAAGUAUAUGUACCCUCCACUCUCUGUCUGAGCCCAGUGAGGAACCUGCUAAAGCUGUGAAUGAAGAACCUACGGAAGUGGUGAAGUAUAAUUAUCUCCAUUCUCUCUGUGUGAAUCCAGCGAAGAGCCUGUUAAAGCUGUGAAGUUGAGGAGCCUGUUAACACUGUGAAAUAUAUGUACCUCACUUUCUCUCUGUCUGAGUCCAGUGAAGAGCCUGUUAAAAUUGUGAAGUGUACUGGCCUCUCUCUAUCUUCAGUCUGAGUCCAGUGAAGAACCUGCUGAAGCGGAGAAUGAAAAGCCUGCAGAGUCACUGAAGUGAGUUAUCUGCUGUUGUCGAUCUGCUACCAUUGUAGGACCCGUGACAUAUGGAAUUGAGUAUCCAUUGACUUGACCAUUCAUAUUGAAUCUGUGUGAAGCCCUGCAGAGUCACUGAAAUAGUGCUGUAACCCCACUGAACGGAGAUAGCCGCUGAUGAUAUCCCUACUGAGGACUCGAAGAACGGAGUUACCAUCAAGCUUUCCAUCUGGCGCUGUAGCCACUCUGGCUGUAUUCACCUUACUGUGUUGGUAGUGGAGGAGGGGAACUUGAGCUACACAUGCAGUCACUCAACCUGGAGCUCCUCAAGAAGGGUGGAAGUGGGGGUGUCGGCCGGCAGGGAGUGCCUCCACACCCCCGGCUCGGCCCGUGACAAAGUGGUGUAGUCGGCAGGGUUCCCACCUUGAGUUGAGCACCCGUAUUCCAGGAGAUGGCGGACGAAGAGGCACCUGCGGAUAGACCCCAAGCGAGACAACCGGGGACAACCACCUGCGAGAUAUGGCGAGUGGGUCAUGGUGCAGGAGUUCUAGGCACUAGAACCCAUUGGUGGGGGAGGAUGUCACGGGGUGAUAAAGGCCGGAACUAUAGGCCGAGGUUGUUGUUGUGGCGGGGAGCACUUCCAGAGUAAAACAAGGCCGGUUCCGGGGAUACACGGAAGCAGGAAAAAUACGCUGGAAUAGAAGAUAACGAGGAUAAAAGCUGGCAGCUGUGCAGGGGAAAAUGCGUAAGCAGGUGAUUGGAUUGGGAGGGAAAUAAAAAGAGAAGGGAGCAGAGAGGAAGGAUUGGGGAAGACGCAGGAGGAAGGGAGGAAGGAUCGGUGAAGAUGGAGGGAGGAAGGAUCAGCGAAGACACAGGAAGAGAAGAGGAAGGAAUCAGCGGAGACGCAGUAGUGAUACAGCGAGGAAUGAACUGAAGAUGGAUGUUUGGAAAUGGCACUGUAGUGAGAGUCCUGUUUUUUUUAUCAGUAUAUGGAGAGUUCAUUGGUUGAGACUGUCGUAUGGGCCCGCACUCUGCCUUAAGGAUCUGAGGUCCGUGCAUGCUGUGCUGAUGAUAUCCCUACUGACGACUCAAAGAACGGAGUUACCAUCAAGCCUUCGCCAUCUGGCGCCAUAGCCACUUGGGCUGUAUUCACAUUGUAUUCACGUGUUGGUAGUGGAGGAGAGGAACUAGAGCUACACAUACAGUAACCUAACCUGGAGGGAGGAAGCUCAUAACGCUUUAGAGACAUUUUUUUUAAUUAAAUUAAUAAAUGUGUUAACUUUGAAUUCUGGUGGUCUGCCUCAUUCUCCGGUGCGGGGUAGCUCCUUAAGAAGGGUGGAAGUGGUGGUGUCGGCCGACAGGGAGUGCCUCCACACCCCCGGCUCGGUCCGUGACAUUAGCGCCGAUCAAAACAAGUUAUUUGGCCAUGUUUCCUUUUUAAUAUGAGUAAAGUGACAUGGAAUGACAGAAGCAUGGACUUUAUUUAUAAGUGGCAGGUGAGUGCUUUGUUUGAGUAUUGUCUCAUGUAUAUGAAGGUGUACAUGGUGCAUUGAUAAUACUGUGGUGUGUGGAUGUCCAGCAUUUGUAAACUUUUGCUGCUGUGGGCGUGGCGUCAUUUUAGAGUGAAGAGAAUGUUCAUAGUGAAACCAUGUAUAGGUGGAAUACUUUUACUGAUCCAUGCAAGGAAAAUUACUCUGCAUGUGACCUCAAGUAU